UUAAAGUCUGUGCAGGUAUCCUUGCAGUUUGUACUGGAGCGAUGGUAGAUAGACCACCACCCCCCACAAUUUCUGCCACCAGGCCCACAACAUGGAGUGGAAACCAGCCACUUUUGAUUACCUUCAUGGGUAACUUCAGUGCUGCAAAAACAUAAACAAAUGAAAAAAAAAAGGGGAAAGAAAAGAUGACAUACAAUUGUGAGAAAGUUCAAGCUGGAAGGGGGAGCAAGAGAUAGUUCAUGCAUUUGAGGGUUGAUAUCACCCACUGGGUCAGUGAGGCAGGCAGGCAGGCAGGCAGGCAGGCAGGAGCAUAACGAAGAUGACGAUGUCCUUUCACAGGCCGCUGCACUUUGAGUAUUGUUCAACCAACCCACCGAUUAUGACAUCGUGGAUUCAUGUUUCGCAGAUGAUGUAGAGUAUGUGCAGGUAGAUCCCAGGUGGGUGAGGACUGUUCAUUGGAAACUUGGAACUGUCUUUGUGAGUGAUCUGUGGUACAUCUGUGGCUACAUGGGGCUAUUCCGAGUUAGAUUCGCAGUUUAACAGACUCACUUCAAGUUCUGGUCUUGUGGAAUAUUCAGCAUCGUCCAUCACAAAGGUUGCUCUGGAAGUGGCGAAGAGGAGAGCAGAGAAUAAAAAAAGAAAGAAAAACAGUGCUCUAAAACAUGAAUGUUAGAUUGAAAAACCAACUAAGAAACGUUCGUGUAGGCACAUAACAGCAGUCUACCUUUACGGAUGCAUGUCAAUUCCUUUAAUUAUUAAAAGACUCUUAUCAGAGACUGCAUUAAUAAAAUAGAUCUGUGUGUAUGAUUAAAAAUCGCAA